rnacentral:rRNA from 1 species
UACGUAGGGCGCAAGCGUUAUCCGGAAUUAUUGGGCGUAAAGAGCUCGUAGGCGGUUUGUCGCGUCUGCCGUGAAAGUCCGGGGCUCAACUCCGGAUCUGCGGUGGGUACGGGCAGACUAGAGUGAUGUAGGGGAGACUGGAAUUCCUGGUGUAGCGGUGAAAUGCGCAGAUAUCAGGAGGAACACCAAUGGCGAAGGCAGAUCUCUGGGCCGAAACUGACGCUGAGGCGCGAAAGCCAGGGGAGCAAACGGG